rnacentral:lncRNA from 1 species
AUGAAGCUAGUUGCCAAGGUCACGCAGCUCAGUCACAUCCUACUGAACAUCAUCCUGUUCCCUGGGUGGAAUGUCACCAUCGCCCAGGUGGGGAUUUUUGUGUGUUUUGUUCACUGCUGUACACCCAGCCCCCAGCACGGCGCCUGUCCAGGACAAGUGCCCAGUAAACGCUUGGGAAGCAAUGCAAGCGUCCUCCCAGCAGCUCCUGCAAACAGACCCCCGACCCAAGCCCUUCCUUCUGCCUCCACUGCCACCAUUGCUGCUCAUCUCUGCUGGCACAGAAGUCUCUUCCCUGGUCUUCCAGAAAUCCCCUCUCCACACUCAGCCAGAGGGAGCUAUUAAAACUGCGGGCCAGCCCACAUCAGUCCACAGCAAAGUCCUCUCUAAGGGAUCCCUGUUGCUUGGAGAAUAAACCCUCGGAUUCCUUCCUUGGCUCUCGGGGCCUCCUCUCUGACCUCCCUCUGUCUCCUCUCCCAGCCUUCCUCCUCACUCACCCUCCAGCCACGCUGGCUUCCUCCUUGCUCCUGAAACAGCCUGAGGCCCACACUGCCCCGGGCCCUUUGCACUGGCUGUUUCCUCUGCCUGGAACACUUCUAGGCAUCCACAUGGCUCCCUCCCACAACUCCUUCAGGUGCCCACAUGGGAAGCCAUCCCUGACCACCCCCCACUUCCUUCUGAGCAUGGUAGGAUCUUUCUACCUAGCCAUGAGGGCAGGGAUUUUUGUCUGUUGUGUUCUCUGUGUGCCCCCAGUGCCAUCACAGUGCCUGGCAGAUGGUAAGUGCUCGACACACAUUGGCUGACUGCCUGAAUGAACAACUCUAUGAGCCGAUGGCAGAUAAGGACACUGAGGUCCUCUGGGGUAGGUGACCAGCCCAAGGCCACACAGCUGGUCUGAGAUUAGGCCAGGAGAGGAGCCCGGGUUGGUCACAUCCUGGAGUUGGCGUCUUGGAAACUGCAUCAGGAGAAUAACAAAGAUGAGACGCAGGCUCUAACAAGUGGAUACCAGUGACUCUCGCCCUGCCAGCCCCAGCCCUGCAGCCUUGGGCCCUUCCAGGAGUCAUGGUCUGCCUGCCUGGGGCAUUCCAGGCUUCGACCCAGGUCCUGCGCUUUCUAUUUUGAGCCUCUUAGUCCUGAGGACUGUGUGUUCCCAGCAGGUGGCGCGGGCCAGAGGCUGAGCCUGGGUGUGGCUGUCACCCUAUCUGGGGCCAGAGACCCAGAUUCCCGGGCCCUUAACCUGUUGGCUGCUGAGGGCUCUGGCAUAAGCCCUGUUCCCUGCUUGAUUGUCUCCCCUUCAAGCCCCUGCCCUGGUAUCAUAUCGGCCCAUCUCACCUUGGAUUAUAUCCCUGUUUGGCCCCAUUUGAAUCCUGGCUCUGCCCCUUUCCAGCUAUGUGACCUUGGGCAAGUCACUUCAUCUCUCUGGGUCUCAGUUUCUUCAUCUGGGAAAUGGGGACAAUAAGAGUACCUGUCUCUGGCCAUGUGUGGUGACUCAUGCCUGUAACCCCAGCGCUUUGGGAAGCUGAGGCGAGAGAAUUGCUUGAGACCAGGAGUUUGAGAUCAGCCCUGGGCAACAUAGUGAGACCCCUGUCUCUACAAAAUUCUAAAAAAAUUAGCCGGGUGUGGUGGUGUGUGCCUGUAGUCCCAGCUAUUCUAGAGGCUGAGGCGGGAGGAUUGCUUGAGCCCAGGAGUUUGAGGCUGCAGUGAGCUAUGAUUAUGCCCCUGCACAUCAGCCUGGGUGAUAGAAUGAGACCCCAUCUCUAAAAAUAACAAUACUAAUAAUAAAUAAAAAUGAAAACGAGUACCUGU